AUUGAACGCUGGCGGCAGGCCUAACACAUGCAAGUCGAGCGGAUGAAGGGAGCUUGCUCCCUGAUUCAGCGGCGGACGGGUGAGUAAUGCCUAGGAAUCUGCCUGGUAGUGGGGGACAACGUUUCGAAAGGAACGCUAAUACCGCAUACGUCCUACGGGAGAAAGCAGGGGACCUUCGGGCCUUGCGCUAUCAGAUGAGCCUAGGUCGGAUUAGCUAGUUGGUGAGGUAAUGGCUCACCAAGGCGACGAUCCGUAACUGGUCUGAGAGGAUGAUCAGUCACACUGGAACUGAGACACGGUCCAGACUCCUACGGGAGGCAGCAGUGGGGAAUAUUGGACAAUGGGCGAAAGCCUGAUCCAGCCAUGCCGCGUGUGUGAAGAAGGUCUUCGGAUUGUAAAGCACUUUAAGUUGGGAGGAAGGGUUGCUGAUUAAUACUCUGCAAUUUUGACGUUACCGACAGAAUAAGCACCGGCUAACUCUGUGCCAGCAGCCGCCGUAA
rnacentral:rRNA from 1 species